AAAGUCGUAACAAGGUUUCCGUAGGUGAACCUGCGGAAGGAUCAUUACUGAAGUGAUUUGGGGAUGUUGCUGGCCUCUUCUUUUUUGAGGGGCAAUGUGCACUCCCUGAACAAUUCACAAUUUCCAUCACACCCUUGUGCACAUCCUGUAGGCACCCACUCACCUCUCUUGGUUAGGGCGUCCUAUGUAUUCUUCAUCUCACACUUUAUUGAAUGGUGCUCUUGAACGCAUCUUAUGGAUUAUUUGUAAAAAAGUAAUCACAGAAACAACUUUCAACAAUGGAUCUCUUGGCUCUC
rnacentral:misc_RNA from 1 species